rnacentral:rRNA from 1 species
UACGAAGGGGGCUAGCGUUGUUCGGAUUUACUGGGCGUAAAGCGCGUGUAGGCGGGUCGUUAAGUUGGGGGUGGAAGCCCGGAGCUCAACUCCGGAACUGCCUUCAAAACUGGCGACCUGGAGCAUGUCAGAGGAGAGUGGAAUUGCGAGUGUAGAGGUGAAAUUCGUAGAUAUUCGCAGGAACACCAGUGGCGAAGGCGACUCGCUGGGACAUUGCUGACGCUGAGAAGCGAAAGCGUGGGGAGCAAACAGG